rnacentral:rRNA from 1 species
CAAUAGCGUAUAUUAAAGUUGUUGCAGUUAAAAAGCUCGUAGUUGGAUUUCUGAUCGAGACAUCAGGUCGGGUCCGAGAGGAUCAUGUACUUUGAUUUUGUUUUGAUCAUCCUUGGGGAGAGCAUUUCUGGCAUUCAGUUGUCGGGAUUGGGAUCCUCAUCGUUUACUGUGAAAAAAUUAGAGUGUUCAAAGCAGGCCUCGGCCUCUGAAUACAUUAGCAUGGAAUAAUAAGAUAGGACUUUGGUGGUCUAUUUUGUUGGUUUGCACGCCAAAGUAAUGAUUAAUAGGGAUAGUUGGGGGUAUUCGUAUUCAAUCGUCAGAGGUGAAAUUCUUGGAUUUAUGGAAGACGAACUACUGCGAAAGCAUUUACCAAGGAUGUUUUCAUUAA